AGGAAUCCCUAGUAAGCGCAAGUCAUCAGCNUGCGUUGAUUACGUCCNUGCCCUUUGUACACACCGCCCGUNGCUACUACCGAUUGAAUGGUUCAGUAGGCGUUNGGACUGGCCUAAGGAGGUCGGCAANGACCACCUAGGGCCGGAAAGUUCUCCAAACUCGAUCAUUUAGAGGAAGUAAAAGUCGUAACAAGGUNUCCGUUGGUGAACCAGCGGAGGGAUCAUU
rnacentral:rRNA from 1 species